UGAAUUCCCGCUCUUGAGGAUCUCCCAAAACAAAAACCCCUAGAUCUUGCCUCUUUUUUCUCCUCUCAAAAACUAAUAGCACUCGCCUCUUUUAAAUUUUUGUUUUCAAACGCAUGUCUUCACUUCCUUCGUUCUUUGUUUCUUUAAAAAUAACCCUAAUCUAAUUCAGGUACCGGAUAUGUAAGCAAAUGUGCCAAAUCUGGCAAGUUGGUAUGGAGGUUGUUUAUAGCAGCUCCUGCAACAAAUGGUGGUGAGCUGGUGUCCAAACACAGUUUCGGAAACUUCGGUUAGGGUUUCGACGAACCCCUUUUCACUGUUUUCAUUCAUACACAGCACAACGAUGGUGAACCAUUCGUGGUAGAUGUGUUUAAGUAGCUAAACAUGCUUCUCUUUCACCAUUUUUCAGUCUAAAGCUUUGUUUUCAGCUUCUAAUAUAUGCGUAAAUUGAAUGGUGUUCAUCGACUUGUGUUGGUUGUUUUGGCUUUGGUUUUGGUGAAAGCAGUAUUUAAUGACCACAAUAUCUUUGGUUGGAGGAGAUUCGGUUGAGUCAGUUAUAUCAUCACAUCAAACGGAAAUUAAAAUCUAAUCAGUUAAUUUCUUUCUUCCAGACGAAGAAAUGUCAACUGGUGCAUGAAAAGAAGCCAUGAAUUUUUAUACCAGAGAUUUUCUUCGUUCAUUGAGUAAGUUGAAAAUAUGCAAAAGCCUGCCCUAUGGAUUUGACCAACAAUGAUUAUAAGGAAACUCGAAGAUAAAAACAUACAAGAAUGACUAAGACCUCACGGGGAGGUGUUGUCAACCAAUAAAAGGAUGAUAUGGGGAUAUUGCAGGAGGAAAUUAAUGCUUUGUUGGUUAGUAUUUUAUAGAAGUAGCAAUAGCAAUAGCAAUGGAGUGUAGUUAACUCUCUAAACUAAAUGUUUUUUUACUCUUUUAACACAUGCUUGUUAGAUUUACUAUACAAAUAAAGCUGGUGGGUGUGGUUUCGCUCCCUGCCACUUCAUCAGUUUUAGCGCCCCAUGGUAGGGAUGAGCAAAUUGGACCCGGUAUAGGCUAAAUACAUACCUUUCACCUGGAGCGCUACCCACAGAACCAUCUGAAUCAGAACCUUCAUAGAAGAUUUCGUGAAUUAUUGAAUAAAACCGGAAGCUUUAUGAACUCCUUUAAGUUUUUUUUUUCUGUAAUGUAUGUUUUUAGACUUGGCAUACAUGUUUGUUCUUAAACAAAUUCCGCAAACAAAGUUUCCUGUGCUAUGCACGCCUUAAA